AGUCCGCAGCCGCCGUCCAGCGCGCAAGUUACGCCGGAGCACAGGAGCGGGAGCCGGAGGCCCGAGCUGCCAGGGCGGCGCACGCUCACCCGCGCGGACCGGGCCGCGUUCGUUCCCGCUCGGGCCGCUCCCGUCCAGGCGCCGGGCCGAGCUUCCGGCCGAGUAGCCGGGAAGCUCCGUAAUCCCAGCCAGGCUUUGAGGGCCCUGCGCCUGCGCGCGGCGAGAGGCGGAGCUCCAUCUGACCACGCCCUCGCGGUGACGCGCUGCGGAGGGCGGUGCACCGGGUAGCGGGCAGAGGUGGGAAUCCUUUUGGAAGACUCUAGCAUGGGGUAGGCUGGUGAGAAAGAAUUGCCUGGAAGGGCGGGGGCAGCCACACUUAGAAAGUGGGAAGUUUGAGUGGGCCAGAAAAACCUCCUGUCAGCUACUGAGAAUAACUCGAGAAUCCGAGCAACUUGAUAUGGCGUAGUUAAUAUGCCAAAUAUUCAUUGCUGCAGCACUCUGCCCCGCGCUAUGUAAACCAAAACUAAAAAAAAAAAAAAAAAACAACCCAGCCUUGAGAGUCUUCCUAAUUCCAACGGGUGGCCUUCACUUUGCAAACUUCUGGAAUAGCCUGACAGGUCCCAGGACUUGCACCUCUGUUGGGGUGGGGAGGAAGUAGGACGGGGAAGCAGGGAAAAAGAGAUGAAGGUCAGAGCACAACUUUAGGAAGCCAGUUCUCUGUGCCUCGGUGAGGCAGCGUCUCUUGUUUCUGCCGCGUUGUGCAUUCCACAUAGAUCAGUGCCUCAUUCUGCCAUUAUCAGAGAAGCUACUGAGAGAGAGAGAGAGAGAGAGAGAGAGACAGAGACAGAGACAGAGUCUCCAUCAAACCCCUCUUCUCAGGGCUCAGAAAGCUAGAGAGAACAGAUAGAAGGAUUGUAAGAACCAGAGAAGACCCUAGGAAAACAGUGUCUCCCAGACACAACAGCACUGACACACAUAUAUGAACUAGAGAUAGGAUGCUCAGGGCCUGAAUAGGUUCAAGCCAGAUGGAGUCCUAGAACAGAGAAGCAAGUGCUCAUGAGCUCUUAUCCCUAAGAAGCUGUCUCCAACUGAUACCUACUUGCAAAGAAAAAAUAACUUUCUCCAAUGGAGUCUCUCAGGGUGUAAAAGCCAACCACCCUUAACAGUAUGUCCCAUGCCCAGCAGUGGAUGGCCAGAUCAAUGGUGUUUUAUUUGUGUGUAUGUCUAUAAAUCACAUGUGUACAGUGCCCACAGAGGCCAGAAGAGGAUGUUAGAUCCCCUAAAACUGGAGUUACAGAAGGUUGUGAGCUACCAUGUAAGUGCUGGGACUGGAACAUGGGCCUGGAAGAGCAGCCAGUGUUCUUAAUCACUGAAACAUCUUCUCCAGCCCCUGUGUUUUCAGUUUUAAAGUUGACUUUGAAAAGAAUCAGACUCUGAAAAGUUUUGACGAAUGAAGUAUUCAUAUAUAUAUAUAUACUCUUCACAUGGGCACAGUUCAUAUGCUUGGAACAAGGAUUUGUUGUUGUGGAACAGUGUGAGAAUAAAUUAUAGCAUCCAAAGGCAAAGCUGUUCUUUCACGUAUCCACAGAACAAUGCUCAGGUUUAGGUAACUUCACACUGAAGCAAUACUAUAGCUGUGAUCCAGUCUUUAUUUAAAAUUUGUCAGUUGUAGUCUAAGGCAGGCUCUCACUCCGCAGCCCAGACUGGAUUGAAACUCUAAACACUGGGAUGCCAGGCCUGUUUCUCCACUCUGGGUUCUCUUCCUGCUUUCUUUAUGGAGUCUUUUGAUGAGUAAAACUUAACAAGUUUAAUGUACUCGGGUUUGUCUGUCUCGUCUUCUGUAGCUAGCAACUUUGAUGUCCAAAAAGCCUUGAGUAUCCUAAAAUGAAGAUUUCUUUUAGAAUUUUUGGGAAAGUUUUAGUUUUCUCGUUUAUAAUUAAAUCAUGGCUCCACGUUGGAAUAGUUUGUGUUUGCUAUGAGGUAAGGAUCCACUUCUUGAUUAGAAUGGAGAGGAUUUGGACUUCACUUGGCCAAUGGGUAGUUAUCUGAAUAGUAGUUACUAACUAGAAUCUUUUUUCAAAUGACUGUGGAUGUUACAUCUGGGAUGUAUCAAUGUUUCAAAAUGA
rnacentral:lncRNA from 1 species